rnacentral:rRNA from 1 species
AUUGAACGCUGGCGGCAUGCUUUACACAUGCAAGUCGAACGGUAACAGGUCUUCGGAUGCUGACGAGUGGCGAACGGGUGAGUAAUGCAUCGGAACGUGCCCAGUCGUGGGGGAUAACGCAGCGAAAGCUGUGCUAAUACCGCAUACGAUCUAUGGAUGAAAGCGGGGGAUCGCAAGACCUCGCGCGAUUGGAGCGGCCGAUGUCAGAUUAGCUAGUUGGUGGGGUAAAGGCCCACCAAGGCGACGAUCUGUAGCUGGUCUGAGAGGACGACCAGCCACACUGGAACUGAGACACGGUCCAGACUCCUACGGGAGGCAGCAGUGGGGAAUUUUGGACAAUGGGGGCAACCCUGAUCCAGCAAUGCCGCGUGAGUGAAGAAGGCCUGUGUAG